AGACCCGAAACCCGGUGAUCUAGCCAUGGGCAGGUUGAAGGUUGGGUAACACUAACUGGAGGACCGAACCGACUAAUGUUGAAAAAUUAGCGGAUGACCUGUGGCUGGGGGUGAAAGGCCAAUCAAACCGGGAGAUAGCUGGUUCUCCCCGAAAGCUAUUUAGGUAGCGCCUCGUGAAUUCAUCUCCGGGGGUAGAGCACUGUUUCGGCUAGGGGGCCAUCCCGGCUUACCAACCCGAUGCAAACUGCGAAUACCGGAGAAUGUUAUCACGGGAGACACACGGCGGGUGCUAACGUCCGUCGUGAAGAGGGAAACAACCCAGACCGCCAGCUAAGGUCCCAAAGUCAUGGUUAAGUGGGAAACGAUGUGGGAAGGCCCAGACAGCCAGGAUGUUGGCUUAGAAGCAGCCAUCAUUUAAAGAAAGCGUAAUAGCUCACUGGUCGAGUCGGCCUGCGCGGAAGAUGUAACGGGGCUAAACCAUGCACCGAAGCUGCGGCAGCGACGCUGAUGCGUUGUUGGGUAGGGGAGCGUUCUGUAAGCCUGCGAAGGUGGCCUGUGAGGGUUGCUGGAGGUAUCAGAAGUGCGAAUGCUGACAUAAGUAACGAUAAAGCGGGUGAAAAGCCCGCUCGCCGGAAGACCAAGGGUUCCUGUCCAACGUUAAUCGGGGCAGGGUGAGUCGACCCCUAAGGCGAGGCCGAAAGGCGUAGUCGAUGGGAAACGGGUUAAUAUUCCCGUACUUGGUGUUACUGCGAAGGGGGGACGGAGAAGGCUAUGUUGGCCGGGCGACGGUUGUCCCGGUUUAAGCGUGUAGGUGUGUGUUCCAGGUAAAUCCGGUUCACUUUAACACUGAGGCGUGACGACGAGGCACUACGGUGCUGAAGCAACAAAUGCCCUGCUUCCAGGAAAAGCCUCUAAGCAUCAGGUAACAUCAAAUCGUACCCCAAACCGACACAGGUGGUCAGGUAGAGAAUACCAAGGCGCUUGAGAGAACUCGGGUGAAGGAACUAGGCAAAAUGGUGCCGUAACUUCGGGAGAAGGCACGCUGACACGUAGGUGAAGUGAUUUACUCAUGGAGCUGAAGUCAGUCGAAGAUACCAGCUGGCUGCAACUGUUUAUUAAAAACACAGCACUGUGCAAACACGAAAGUGGACGUAUACGGUGUGACGCCUGCCCGGUGCCGGAAGGUUAAUUGAUGGGGUCAGCGCAAGCGAAGCUCCUGAUCGAAGCCCCGGUAAACGGCGGCCGUAACUAUAACGGUCCUAAGGUAGCGAAAUUCCUUGUCGGGUAAGUUCCGACCUGCACGAAUGGCGUAAUGAUGGCCAGGCUGUCUCCACCCGAGACUCAGUGAAAUUGAACUCGCUGUGAAGAUGCAGUGUACCCGCGGCAAGACGGAAAGACCCCGUGAACCUUUACUAUAGCUUGACACUGAACAUUGAGCCUUGAUGUGUAGGAUAGGUGGGAGGCUUUGAAGUGUGGACGCCAGUCUGCAUGGAGCCGACCUUGAAAUACCACCCUUUAAUGUUUGAUGUUCUAACGUGGACCCGUGAUCCGGGUUGCGGACAGUGUCUGGUGGGUAGUUUGACUGGGGCGGUCUCCUCCUAAAGAGUAACGGAGGAGCACGAAGGUUGGCUAAUCCUGGUCGGACAUCAGGAGGUUAGUGCAAUGGCAUAAGCCAGCUUGACUGCGAGCGUGACGGCGCGAGCAGGUGCGAAAGCAGGUCAUAGUGAUCCGGUGGUUCUGAAUGGAAGGGCCAUCGCUCAACGGAUAAAAGGUACUCCGGGGAUAACAGGCUGAUACCGCCCAAGAGUUCAUAUCGACGGCGGUGUUUGGCACCUCGAUGUCGGCUCAUCACAUCCUGGGGCUGAAGUAGGUCCCAAGGGUAUGGCUGUUCGCCAUUUAAAGUGGUACGCGAGCUGGGUUUAGAACGUCGUGAGACAGUUCGGUCCCUAUCUGCCGUGGGCGCUGGAGAACUGAGGGGGGCUGCUCCUAGUACGAGAGGACCGGAGUGGACGCAUCACUGGUGUUCGGGUUGUCAUGCCAAUGGCACUGCCCGGUAGCUAAAUGCGGAAGAGAUAAGUGCUGAAAGCAUCUAAGCACGAAACUUGCCCCGAGAUGAGUUCUCCCUGAGACUUUAGGUCUCCUGAAGGAACGUUGAAGACGACGACGUUGAUAGGCCGGGUGUGUAAGCGCAGCGAUGCGUUGAGCUAACCGGUACUAAUGAACCGUGAGGCUUAACCUUACA
rnacentral:rRNA from 1 species